AGUUUUUGGGCGGUUUCAGGUGGGUUUUGAGGGGUCCCAGGUGGUUUUUGGGGGUCCCAGGUGGAUUUUUGUGGUCCCAGGUGCUUUUUCGGCGGUUUCAGGUGGUUUUUUGGCGGUUUCAGGUGUGAUUUCGGGGGCCUCAGGUGUGAUUUUGGGGGUCCCAGGUGGGUUUUUGGGGAUCUCAGGUGGAUUUUUGUGGUCCCAGGCGCUUUUUGGGCGGUUUCAGGUGUGAUUCUGGGUGGUCCCAGGUGGUUUUGGGGUGUCCCAGGUGGGAUUUUGGAGGCAUCCAGGUGUUCCUGGGUGGGUCCAGGUGGGUUUUGGGGGAUCCAGGUGUCAUUGGGGGGUUUAGGGUGGGGUUUGGGGGGAUCCAGGUGCUUUUUGGGGGGAUCCAGGUGUCCUGGGAGGGAUCCAGGUGUGUCCGGGCAGGGUGCAGGUGCCCAGGUGUGCUGGGAACUGCUGAUCCAGGUGUGCAGGAACCCGAACAUCUGGGCGGGCUGGGACUCAGGUGUGAGGGAUCCAGGUGUGAGGGGAUCCAGGUGUGUGAGGGAUCCAGGUGUGAGGGAUCCAGGUGUGAGGGGGGAUCCAGGUGUGAGGGAUCCAGGUGUGAGGGAUCCAGGUGUGGGGGAUCCAGGUGUGAGGGAUCCAGGUGUGAGGGAUCCAGGUGCCCAGGUGUGGGUGGGACUUGGUUAUCCAGGUGUGAUGUCACCUGGUUAUGACAUCACCCACCCAGGUGUGACGUCACCAGCUCACCUAGCCAUGACAUCACCUGCCCACACCCCCCCCCUCCUGCCCAGGUGUGAUGUGACCCCCGCCAGGUGUGACGUCAUCCAGGUGUGCGACCUCCGGGCUCACCUGGCUGUGACGUCACCGUCGUACCCAGCUGUCCCCUCCCCCCUCACCUGUCCACCCCCA